UAAAACGGAGGGGGCGAGCGUUGUUCGGAAUUACUGGGCGUAAAGGGCGCGUAGGCGGUCAGACAAGUCGGAUGUGAAAUCCUCUGGCUCAACUGGAGAACUGCGUUCGAAACUGUCUGACUUGGGUACAGGAGAGGAGAGUGGAACUCCCAGUGUAGCGGUGAAAUGCGUAGAUAUUGGGAGGAACACCAGUGGCGAAGGCGACUCUCUAGCCUGAUACCGACGCUGAGGCGCGAAAGCCAGGGGAGCGAACGGGAUUAGAUACCCCGGUAGUCCUGGCCGUAAACGAUGGGCACUAGGUGUAGGGGGUAUCGACCCCCUCUGUGCCGAAGCUAACGCAUUAAGUGCCCCGCCUGGGGAGUACGGUCGCAAGACUG
rnacentral:rRNA from 1 species